GUGCUUGCUUUUACAGAAUAUAUACUAAAAUUGGAUAGAUACAGAGAUUAGUAUGGCCCCUGUACAAGGAUGAAUACAAAUUUAGCAAACAUUCCAUAUUUAA
rnacentral:snRNA from 1 species